GUGCUCACUUCCGUAGCACAUAUACUAAAAUUGGAACGAUACAAAGAAGAUUAGCGUGGCCCUUGCGCAAGUAUGACGCGCAAAUUUGUAAAGCGCUCCAUAUUUUU
ensembl:snRNA U6 U6 spliceosomal RNA